AUCCAAGGCCCUCUAAACCACAAGUUCAAUUGCUUCUGGCUACACCCGUGGAAGCCACGGCGUAGGUACAGACCAGCCCAAAUGAACAUCAGUGAAGAGGAGCCCUGGAAGUCCCUUGAUUUCCGAGGGUCACACCUUGUGCAUGGACUGGAGUUUCAAUUCUCAAGUUUCUUUAAACGUCUCAAUGUGACAACACAGAGCACAGUCUCUGGAAAAACGGCAUCAUAUACAAUGAGAGAAGGAAUGAAAAAGGCAAAAACAAUGCAGUGUUAACACGAAAAGAGGCUUGACCUUGUGGACUCCUGGAAGUGUUCGGGGGACUGCAUGUUCAGAAUACUGUCCUAGGGUUAAGCCUUCAAAUAGCACCCACCUGACAAUAUUUGGUUAUGACCACACAUCUGCUCAUGAGGGUGUGGGAGCGCUAAGAAGUAACAUAUUCGGAAUAAGUGGAAGAGGGGAUAUGAAAGAUCAAGACCAUGCUGAAAGUCCCAAAGCACAGAAGGAGACUCUAGAUGGUAAAAUAAGGAGGGGAAAGCUGGUAAGUAAAAGACAAAGCAAACAAUCCAUGGGCAGCCGCUGCCUCCCUGAUGCCCUAUCUUCACAAACUCAUCUCUGUCUGAGUGAUUUCUGGUCUAGAGAAGGGUUAGGGUUCCGUAAGUGAAUUCAGUCAUUCGUGGUAACAGUAACAACCGAAGAUUAUCUUAUAAAUAAGUGUAACCAUAAUUCCCUCAAAGUACUUUGCAUCCAUCCAGAGUGUUGAAAUGAGUGGUGUUUGCAUUCGUAGGUAUAGUAAAAUUAGUACUUACAGCAGUCAUAAAUGCAUUACUAGUUGGAGAUAUGCUCAAGCUGGGAAGAGUAGAGGUAAGAGUAGGAACAGAACUGAUGAGAGGAGUUUGGAAAGAAGUGGUCAUGACAAGAAUAGUGUUAUUUGUCCUAAUAACAUCAGUAUGUGCAGAAAAAAACAGUACUCCCAAGAAACAAUAUUACCAGUGCUAGCAGCAGACAGACUUGUAGAAAAAGGAGUAGUCAGUCAUCGGAGAAAGAGUAUUAGUGCAAGUAGCAUGAGUAUCUGCAGGAGAAGGGGUAGAAAAAGUAUUACCCAUACUAUUGUCCCCAGACAUUGUAGGGGAAGGAGAAUUUGUAAUAGGAGCAUCAUUACCGGGGGUAUCAACAUCAGCACUUGAAGCAACAGUAGCAUUCACAGGAUGAAUACUUUCAGAAACAUUAGCCAUAAUAGAAAAAAAAAAAAAAA
rnacentral:lncRNA from 1 species